rnacentral:rRNA from 1 species
ACAGUGUCUGGUGGGUAGUUUGACUGGGGCGGUCUCCUCCUAAAGAGUAACGGAGGAGCACGAAGGUUGGCUAAUCCUGGUCGGACAUCAGGAGGUUAGUGCAAUGGCAUAAGCCAGCUUGACUGCGAGCGUGACGGCGCGAGCAGGUGCGAAAGCAGGUCAUAGUGAUCCGGUGGUUCUGAAUGGAAGGGCCAUCGCUCAACGGAUAAAAGGUACUCCGGGGAUAACAGGCUGAUACCGCCCAAGAGUUCAUAUCGACGGCGGUGUUUGGCACCUCGAUGUCGGCUCAUCACAUCCUGGGGCUGAAGUAGGUCCCAAGGGUAUGGCUGUUCGCCAUUUAAAGUGGUACGCGAGCUGGGUUUAGAACGUCGUGAGACAGUUCGGUCCCUAUCUGCCGUGGGCGCUGGAGAAUUGAGGGGGGCUGCUCCUAGUACGAGAGGACCGGAGUGGACGCAUCACUGGUGUUCGGGUUGUCAUGCCAAUGGCACUGCCCGGUAGCUAAAUGCGGAAGAGAUAAGUGCUGAAAGCAUCUAAGCACGAAACUUGCCCCGAGAUGAGUUCUCCCUGACCCUUUAAGGGUCCUGAAGGAACGUUGAAGACGACGACGUUGAUAGGCCGGGUGUGUAAGCGCAGCGAUGCGUUGAGCUAACCGGU